rnacentral:lncRNA from 1 species
UCUAAAAUCAGAGCCACUGUGGAAGCAAGUACUCAUGUUAACAGCUUCGAGAUGCUCUGCAUGUGAGGACCGGCGGGGAAGCAAGACCUCGGAAACAGGAUUUUAAAUGGAGCAGCAAGCCUCGGCCGCUCAGGGCCCAAACUGCCCUGCGCUGCUAUGUUCCUUUAGAAAACAAGGCAACGCAGGAGGUUGUGGUGUUGGUGCUUGUUUUCAGGGAGAAUUCUAGUUUCAGUAUAAUUCUAUUUACCUCCGGUCUUACUCAGUUACCUUUGACGUGCAGGAGAAUGGCCUUUAAUCAUAUGAUCAGCAAACACUGUUUCCUCUGGGGGAAAUGGGGACAAAUCCACAGUUGAGAGAU